UAUCUCUGUAGAGUCUGCAUAUCAAUAAGCGGAGGAAAAGAAACUAACAAGGAUUCCCCUAGUAACGGCGAGUGAAGCGGGAAGAGCUCAAAUUUGAAAUCUUUAAGGUUUGACCUUGACGAAUUGUAGUUUAAAGAAGUGUUUUCGGUUAGAGGAGUAGUAAAAGUUCUUUGGAAUAGGACAUCAUAGAGGGUGAGAAUCCCGUAUUUGACUAUUCUUUCUAGCUUUGUGAUACACUUUCAAAGAGUCGGACUGUUUGGGAAUGCAGUCCAAAAUGGGUGGUAAAUUUCAUCUAAAGCUAAAUAUUGGCGAGAGACCGAUAGCGAACAAGUACCGUGAGGGAAAGAUGAAAAGAACUUUGAAAAGAGAGUUAAACAGUGCGUGAAAUUGUCAAAAGGGAAGCGUUUGACACCAGUGUUGUUUUUCCGAAAAUCAAUUAAAAAUUGAUUCAUGCCAGGUUGUAUUGACCUUAUCAGCUUGCAAUUUGGUUUUGGGUCUCUUUUUGAUGCACUUUUCGGUUAACAAGUCAACAUCAAUUUCCUUUGCUGUAAAAAGGUAAGAGGAAGGUGGCUUCAAUUUCGGUUGAAGUGUUUAUAGCCUUUUAUCUCUGCAGUCGGGGAGAUUGAGGUCUGCAGCGUAGAUCCUUCGGGGCUAGAUACAUUUAUGCUAAGUUAUAGCUUUUCAUAGACAACUUGUUGACUAUGUUUAGUCAUGUAGCUUACUCGUAAGUGCUAUUUUACCUACGCUUAGGAUGUUGAGCGCAUGUCUCUCUCU
rnacentral:rRNA from 1 species